GCUGGUUUGGCUCAAUGGGUAGAGCGUUGGCCUGCAGACCAAAAGGUCCCAGGUUCAAUUCCGGUUAAGAGCA
rnacentral:tRNA from 1 species